rnacentral:rRNA from 1 species
GAUGAACGCUGGCGGCGUGCUUAACACAUGCAAGUCGAACGGGAUCCAAGGGGUGCUUGCACUUUUUGGUGAGAGUGGCGAACGGGUGAGUAACACGUGAGUAACCUGUCCUUUUCUUUGGGAUAAGCAUUCGAAAGGGUGUUUAAUACCUUAUGUUCUGUCUGCCUCGCAUGGGGUGGGUGGGAAAGGCUUUGGCCGGAUUUGGGUGGGCUCGCGGUCUAUCAGCUUGUUGGUGGGGUGAUGGCUUACCAAGGCUUUGACGGGUAGCCGGCCUGAGAGGGUGGUCGGUCACAUUGGGACUGGGAUACGGCCCAGACUCCUGCGGGAGGCAGCAGUGGGGGAAAUUGCACAAUGGGCGAAAGCCUGAUGCAGCGACGCCGCGUGGGGGAUGAAGGCCUUCGGGUUGUAAACUUCUUUUGCUCUGAACAAGGCAUGCCAGUGGGUGUGUUGAGUGUAGGGGUUGAUUAGCGCCGGCUAACUACGUG